GACGAACGCUGGCGGCGUGCCUAAUACAUGCAAGUAGAACGCUGAAGAGAGGAGCUUGCCCUUCUUGGAUGAGUUGCGAACGGGUGAGUAACGCGUAGGUAACCUGCCUUGUAGCGGGGGAUAACUAUUGGAAACGAUAGCUAAUACCGCAUAACAAUGGAUGACACAUGUCAUUUAUUUGAAAGGGGCAAUUGCUCCACUACAAGAUGGACCUGCGUUGUAUUAGCUAGUAGGUGAGGUAACGGCUCACCUAGGCGACGAUGCAUAGCCGACCUGAGAGGGUGAACGGCCCCACUGGGAAUUAACAACCGGCCAAGAUUCCACGGGAGGCAGCCAGAAGGGAACUUUGGCAAUUGGGGCAACCCCUGACGGGCAACGCCACGGGGGGGAAGAAGGGUUUCGGAUCGUAAAGCUCUGUUGAAUAUCAAAAACGAGAGUGAGAGUGAAAAAUGCACACUGUGACGGUAGCUGAUCAGAAAGGGACGGCUAACUACGUG
rnacentral:rRNA from 1 species